rfam:Oryza meridionalis cultivar OR44 (W2112) chromosome 4, whole genome shotgun sequence.
UUCAAACACAGUCACUAUCCAACUUUGAAUAUCCGUCUUAAUUAAAUUUUUUUAAAUUAGUAUUUUUAUUGUUCUUAAAUGGUAAAACACGAAUAGUAUUUUAUGCGUGAUCUGUGUAUUUUUAAUUUUAUUAAAUAAAAUGGAUGAUCAAAGUUUGAGACGGAAACUGCAAAACUACACUUAAA